UCCUCCCUCUUUCUUCGUGCCUAAUACAUGCAAGUUGAGCGCUGAAGGUUGGUACUUGUACCAACUGGAUGAGCAGCGAACGGGUGAGUAACGCGUGGGGAAUCUGCCUUUGAGCGGGGGACAACAUUUGGAAACGAAUGCUAAUACCGCAUAAAAACUUUAAACACAAGUUUUAAGUUUGAAAGAUGCAAUUGCAUCACUCAAAGAUGAUCCCGCGUUGUAUUAGCUAGUUGGUGAGGUAAAGGCUCACCAAGGCGAUGAUACAUAGCCGACCUGAGAGGGUGAUCGGCCACAGUGGGACUGAGACACGGCCCAAACUCCUACGGGAGGCAGCAGUAGGGAAUCUUCGGCAAUGGACGAAAGUCUGACCGAGCAACGCCGCGUGAGUGAAGAAGGUUUUCGGAUCGUAAAACUCUGUUGGUAGAGAAGAACGUUGGUGAGAGUGGAAAGCUCAUCAAGUGACGGUAACUACCCAGAAAGGGACGGCUAACUACGUG
rnacentral:rRNA from 1 species